AUUAUGGCUCAGGAUGAACGCUGGCGGCGUGCCUAACACAUGCAAGUCGAACGAAGCACUUUACCGAGGAAGAGGAGAGCUUGCUCGAAUCGGACUCACUUAAAGUGACUUAGUGGCGGACGGGUGAGUAACGCGUGGGUAACCUGCCCCGCACCGGGGGGAUAACAGCCGGAAACGGCCGCUAAUACCGCAUGAGCGCACGGCACCGCAUGGUGCAGUGUGAAAAACUCCGGUGGUGCGGGAUGGACCCGCGUCUGAUUAGCCAGUUGGCAGGGUAACGGCCUACCAAAGCGACGAUCAGUAGCCGGCCUGAGAGGGUGAGCGGCCACAUUGGGACUGAGACACGGCCCAAACUCCUACGGGAGGCAGCAGUGGGGAUAUUGCACAAUGGGGGAAACCCUGAUGCAGCCGACGCCGCGUGAGCGAAGAAGUAUCUCGGUAUGUAAAGCUCUAUCGGCAGGGAAGAAGAUGACGGUACCUGACUAAGAAGCUCCGGCUAAAUACGUGCCAGCCGCUGC
rnacentral:rRNA from 1 species